GUGUUACACUUGGAUAGAGGAUGCUGUCUCUGUACCCCUUAUUAUAGAGUUACUCUCAAAAGGUCCUUAAGGAGAAUGAAAGAGGUGCCUUCUGUAUGUUAGACUCACACACAUCAGUCAAGUUGAAGAAUUGGUUUAAAUCUUUAAAUGAGUACAGAAAUUAUAAUUCAUAUUUGACCAAUUGUGCCUAGAUAUUAAAGUAUGUUCUCUUAAGUGCUUUCUGUUUUGUUUAAUAUCAGUAUAUGCAAGUUUUUUUCUGAAAAUGUCUAUAUUUAUGAGUCAUUUUCCUCAAUUUUUUUUUUUUUUAAUACUGGGCCUUUAACAUCCUACUUUAACACAACAGUUCUCAAUGUGGAAAUCACGUCUUACUUGCUGAACCUUACUGCAGAAAUUUGUGUUGUAAUAAAUUUUUAUGAUGUGG